GAUGAACGCUGGCGGCGUGCCUAAUACAUGCAAGUCGAGCGAACGGACGAGAAGCUUGCUUCUCUGAUGUUAGCGGCGGACGGGUGAGGAACACGUGGAUAACCUACCUAUAAGACUGGGAUAACUUCGGGAAACCGGAGCUAAUACCGGAUAAUAUUUUGAACCGCAUGGUUCAAAAGUGAAAGCCGGUCUUGCUGUCACUUAUAGAUGGAUCCGCGCUGCAUUAGCUAGUUGGUAAGGUAACGGCUUACCAAGGCAACGAUGCAUAGCCGGCCUGAGAGGGUGAUCGGCCACACUGGAACUGAGACACGGUCCAGACUCCUACGGGAGGCAGCAGUAGGGAAUCUUCCGCAAUGGGCGAAAGCCUGACGGAGCAACGCCGCGUGAGUGAUGAAGGUCUUCGGAUCGUAAACCUCUGUUAUUAGGGAAGAACAUAUGUGUAAGUAACUGUGCACAUCUUGACGGUACCUAAUCAGAAAGCCACGGCUAACUACGUG
rnacentral:rRNA from 1 species